UACAGAGGGGGCAAGCGUUGUUCGGAAUUACUGGGCGUAAAGGGCGCGUAGGCGGCCUCUUAAGUCGAACGUGAAAUCCCCGGGCUCAACCCGGGAACUGCGUCCGAUACUGGGAGGCUUGAAUCCGGGAGAGGGAUGUGGAAUUCCAGGUGUAGCGGUGAAAUGCGUAGAUAUCUGGAGGAACACCGGUGGCGAAGGCGGCAUCCUGGACCGGUAUUGACGCUGAGGCGCGAAAGCUAGGGAGCAACGGG
rnacentral:rRNA from 1 species